rnacentral:rRNA from 1 species
GACGUAGGGCGCGAGCGUUGUCCGGAUUUAUUGGGCGUAAAGAGCUCGUAGGCGGCUUGUCGCGUCGUGUGUGAAAUCUCAGGGCUCAACUCUGACAUUGCAUACGAUACGGGCAGGCUUGAGUUCGGUAGGGGAGACUGGAAUUCCUGGUGUAGCGGUGAAAUGCGCAGAUAUCAGGAGGAACACCGGUGGCGAAGGCGGGUCUCUGGGCCGCAACUGACGCUGAGGAGCGAAAGCAUGGGGAGCGAACAGG